ACGCGUAGCGUUUUGGUGCGGGGUCACUGAUAAUGACGAGGUCGAUGGUUCGAGUCCAUCGUCGCCCACCA
rnacentral:tRNA from 3 species